AGCAGGGGCCAGCAGCUGUGGCCUCUGCCCUUGAGGCCUGAUCACUUCCUGUCUACUCCCUUUCCUCAACCAGUCCCUAAAGUCUCCCAUUCAGCCUGAGCCUCAGAACUCAGAGUUUUGCACCCGCUGAGGACACUGCCAUUGUUGCUCUCCUUGAGUCUCGUCUGCACUGGAAGGCUGCCUUCUGCCUGGAUCUGAGGCAGCAAUAAGGGCCCUGCAUCCAUUCUCAUCCAGUAGCAGGACUGGACAGAUCAAAGUGUGACCCUCCGGAGGCCAAACCUGAGAGGAGGUGGGACUUUGGGAAGAGAGCAGAAGAUAACAAAGAGAAGCCCCAGCCAGCCCAGUGUGGUAGUGCAAUGUAACCCCAACCACUUGGCAAGUAGGAGGAUUGAAAGUUCAAGGCCAGCCUUGGUAAUUCAGCAAGAUCUUCAGCAACUUGGUGAGACCAUGUCUCAAAAUAAAAAAUAGAUGUAACUCAGUGGUAAAGCACCCCUGGGUUCCAUACCUAGUACCAAAAACAAAAUAAAACAAAACAAAAAAACCAACGAUGAUGAAAAACAAACAACAAAAACCCAAACCAAAAACAACAACAAAAAACCCUAGGCAGAAUGCCUUUUUAAUCUAGGGGAAUUAAUGGCAAUUGUGCAUCCUGAUAAUCCCAUGAGGUCCCACACCAGCAGAUUGCCCAAAUUAACAAGUUCUGAGGCUGUAGAGUCUAGUUCUAAAUUUACUGGGCAGCACAAAAUUUUGCUUAGGGAAGAAAGAGACUAGGCCAUUAGUGCUCACUGUUCCAGAAAUACUUAGAGUCAAAUUGGUAGGCAAAAAGAUUUUAUCCAAAGUCAAGUUUGAAAGAAGAAAGAAGAAAUUUAAUCAUUUCAAAGUUUUCAUCUCUGAAAUCCCUGAAAAUCAGCAGAAUUUUAAAGGAGAGGAGGCAGCUGCAGGUUCGCGAGACAGAAGGUGGAAAAGGAGUUUAAUAAGCCCUAUUUGAGAAUCAGACCAGAGACCUUGCAUCUUAUAGAAGAAAAAGUAGGUCCAGAGCUUCAACAUGUCGGCUUAGGACCAGACUUCCUCAACAGGACUCCCAUAGCACAAGAAAUAAA